AAUUAUUUAUUUGUUGUCAGAUCUUUGUUAAGGUUGAAUGAUCAAUUGGGUGAAUAAAAUGGUUACACAUGUCAUGUUGAUUUGAGACAUUUAUCAUUAAUUUCAAUUUUAUAAAUGGCUUUUAAUAACUUCUAAGUGCUAAAAACAAUUUAUUUAAAGUAAAAAAAAAAACAUGGAAUUUAUACUUCUAAAGCAAUCAAUAUUUUCUUACACAAGAGAGAAACAAUAUGACUCAAAUUCUCAUGCUUAUUUAUGCUUUCAUCAUCUUUUCCUCACCUUUUUUGGUCGUUACCAGUGAAAGUAUAUUAUUUUUCUCACCACUUUUAAAUUUAUGUUAUACACAUUACUAUAUCAAUUUGUAGUAACUAUUUGUUUUUCUUAUUUGACAUUGCAGCCCGUAUUCCAUGCAUUCAUGACAAUGAUUGUCCUGUGGCGAUUUUACCUAUGGUUGUACAAUGCAUUGAUAAUUUUUGUAAGUUUUGGAAUGCAUAUGAACCAAAGGAAGAAAGCUAGUGUAAUGAAAUUGGGUUUAUUCAUUAGAAUAUUUCACUUGCCUUCUGAAAAAUAAUAAUUUCAUUGUGCUAUUAUGGAUGAAUAUACUUACAAUCAAGUUCGUAAAAUUAGUAUAAAUAUCUUUAUUUCAAAUUAAUGAAAUGAGACAAGUAAUCUUGAUCAAUUCUAUCUGCUCACCUAUAGACUCUUCUAAAAACUAAGAAAAAAUAUUACUUUCAAUCAGACUUAUUUUGUUGUUUUGGAUUUGAGUAAUCUUUGUAUUCACUUUAAUCUUAUAG
rnacentral:lncRNA from 1 species